rnacentral:rRNA from 1 species
GUCCACGCCGUAAACUAUGAAUGCUAGUUGUUAGGAAGUUUACUUCUUAGUGACGCAGCUAACGCGUUAAGCAUUCCGCCUGGGGAGUACGGUCGCAAGAUUAAACUCAAAGGAAUUGACGGGGCCCGCACAAGCGGUGGAGCAUGUGGUUUAAUUCGAAGCAACGCGAAGAACCUUACCGGCCCUUGACAUGGGUGUCGCGAGUCCCAGAGACGGGACUCUUCAGUUCGGCUGGACACCACACAGGUGCUGCAUGGCUGUCGU